rnacentral:rRNA from 1 species
ACGGGAGGCAGCAGUAGGGAAUUUUGCGCAAUGGGCGAAAGCCUGACGCAGCAACGCCGCGUGAUUGAUAAAGCCCUUCGGGGUGUAAAGAUCUGUCAGUGGGGACGAAACUUGACGGUACCCACAGAGGAAGCACCGGCUAACUCCGUGCCAGCAGCCGCGGUAAUACGGAGGGUGCAAGCGUUGUCCGGAAUCAUUGGGCGUAAAGAGUUCGUAGGUGGUUUGUUAAGUUUGGUGUUAAAUGCAGAGGCUCAACUUCUGUUCGGCAUCGGAUACUGGCAGACUAGAAUGCGGUAGAGGUAAAGGGAAUUCCUGGUGUAGCGGUGAAAUGCGUAGAUAUCAGGAGGAACAUCGGUGGCGUAAGCGCUUUACUGGGCCGUAAUUGACACUGAGGAACGAAAGCCAGGGUAGCAAAUGGGAUUAGAUACCCCAGUAGUCCUGGCCGUAAACGAUGGAUACUAGGUGUUGCGGGUAUCGACCCCUGCAGUGCC